rnacentral:tRNA from 1 species
AUUAAUCGGGUGUGAUUAAGCAUAUUAAUUUUUCGUAUUAAAGGUAAUUUUUAAUAAUUGAUUAAUA